CAGUGUGUAGCCGAGCUGGCUAGUGCACUUAGUCUCCACCCAAGGGAUCCUGGGUUCAAGUCCCACGUAGACUUU
rnacentral:tRNA from 1 species